ACGCUGGCGGCGUGCUUAACACAUGCAAGUCGAACGGAAAGGCCCUUCGGGGUACUCGAGUGGCGAACGGGUGAGUAACACGUGGGUGAUCUGCCCUGCACUCUGGGAUAAGCCUGGGAAACUGGGUCUAAUACCGGAUAGGACCACACACUUCAUGGUGAGUGGUGCAAAGCUUUUGCGGUGUGGGAUGAGCCCGCGGCCUAUCAGCUUGUUGGUGGGGUAAUGGCCCACCAAGGCGACGACGGGUAGCCGGCCUGAGAGGGUGACCGGCCACACUGGGACUGAGAUACGGCCCAGACUCCUACGGGAGGCAGCAGUGGGGAAUAUUGCACAAUGGGCGCAAGCCUGAUGCAGCGACGCCGCGUGAGGGAUGACGGCCUUCGGGUUGUAAACCUCUUUCAGUAGGGACGAAGCGAAAGUGACGGUACCUACAGAAGAAGGACCGGCCAACUACGUGCCAGCAGCCGCGGUAAUACGUAGGGUCCGAGCGUUGUCCGGAAUUACUGGGCGUAAAGAGCUCGUAGGUGGUUUGUCGCGUUGUUCGUGAAAACUCACAGCUUAACUGUGGGCGUGCGGGCGAUACGGGCAGACUAGAGUACUGCAGGGGAGACUGGAAUUCCUGGUGUAGCGAUGGAAUGCGCAGAUAUCAGGAGGAACACCGGUGGCGAAGGCGGAUCUCUGGGCAGUAACUGACGCUGAGGAGCGAAAGCGUGCGUAGCGAACAGGAUUAGAUACCCUGGUAGUCCACGCCGUAAACGGUGGGUACUAGGUGUGGGUUUCCUUCCUUGGGAUCCGUGCCGUAGCUAACGCAUUAAGUACCCCGC
rnacentral:rRNA from 1 species